CUGAACCAACCUAACAAGCUUCCUGGGGAAAAGCAGAUUGGGCUCACCUGAACAUCACAGGGGCAGAAGAAAACGGAAAAAAAAGACAAACAACCCAAAGGAGGAGCGUGACGUAGAAGCCAUUCAUUCUUUCCAGGAACGUUAGCUCUUCAUGGAAAACAGUAAAACAAUUUUGACUGGAAAGACUUGGGAUAGGGAACUCUGCUGUCAUAGGGUCCCAGCUCAGGGAGGGAGUUCUGGGUGACAUCACUGCUUCUCACAUGGUCCAGAUGCU
rnacentral:lncRNA from 13 species